UAUAUAUAUUUAUAGAUAGAUUAAGUACAUAAAUGUGGAACAAGGUGGGAAAGAUAGUACUCGAAUACUGGAGAUAGAGCAAUAUGCUUUAUUAUUAAAGUUGCAAAAACAUCACAAAUAUAUCACAAAAACUACUACUCAGAGUUUCACGUUC